rnacentral:rRNA from 1 species
UAACCUGCCCAAGAGACUGGGAUAACACCUGGAAACAGAUGCUAAUACCGGAUAACAACACUAGACGCAUGUCUAGAGUUUAAAGGAUGGUUCUGCUAUCACUCUUGGAUGGACCUGCGGUGCAUUAGCUAGUUGGUAAGGUAACGGCUUACCAAGGCAAUGAUGCAUAGCCGAGUUGAGAGACUGAUCGGCCACAUUGGGACUGAGACACGGCCCAAACUCCUACGGAAGGCAGCAG